UUCGAUUCUAUCAGUUGACCUCCAAAUCUACAUAUUAGUCAGAACGUUUUAUAUAGCUAGAGCUGUACAUCAUUUCCACAAGAACAGGUUAUAUAUGAACUCUUAAUCACUUUAAUCCACUGCGAUCUGUCAGAAUAGCUGUCUGGUAGUUAAAAUGAAACCCUAACCUGUGGUUUAUCCCAUCACUCAGUAGUCCUGGGAGUCGCUGUGUUAAUGUGCUGCUGGCCCUGCCAACAGUGACAUACUCAACACAGACCUCACCUCAAGUCUACUGACUGGUCGUCUUCUACACACUGACAUUGAGCAAUGACAUUUUGAAAUUGUGAUUUAUUUACCCCUAUUCAAAUGUCAUUCCGUUUGGUCCACAUAUUGUAACACAAUGAAUUAACAGUAUAAAUGUAUAUGCUAAUAAAUUACCUUUCCAUUUCAGUUAGUCCCCAGGUUGUUAUCCAAGGAGUUAUUUAGUUGUGAUGCACUUUUACUCUCAGACAAGAUCUCGUUAAAAUACCCUAUUUAGAUUGAGGAAGGGACUGAGUGGAGUGUGAGAGUUUCACAGCAGUGUAUUUAGAGCAGGCAGCAAAACGGAGGCCGGGUACACUUGAGGAUGUCAACGCUUGGCAGAAGAAGAGACGUCUCCAGGUGGCUGAGUGGUAUACCUUGGGAGGAAAUCUCAUCAGACAGUGUGUUGCCUUGGCCCCUCAGUGAAGGCUGGCUCCCACACUGGCUUGUAUAUGUGAACAAGGCUGUCCCCUGAGCAGGAGGCCCUGAGAGUGAGAGAGACCAGCGCUCCCACAGACAGACACCGUGAGGACCAGAGCCUGGGUAGGUGACCCAGGUCAUAGCCUCUCUCCCUCUAACAUGAUCAUUAACUACCCCCUUCUUUUUCCUUUUCACCUCUCUCAAUCUCUCUCUUUCUACCUCUCUUAAGUCUCUCUCUUCUACUGUACCUCAAACUCAAUUUUCCCUAUUCUCACUGUUCCCAUGUAAUGACAUCUGUAGAACAGGUCCUGAGAAUGAGAGUGAAAAGAGAAGAAGAGAAAUGAGGAGGACAAGAGAGGACAAGAGAGGGAGAGAAUGAAGAACAUGAAGAACAGAGGUGAGGGUGAGGCACAGUGUGAGAAGAGAGGGGGAGUAGAGAAAGAGGAGAGGUGUGGAGCUGC
rnacentral:lncRNA from 13 species